CACGUAGGGCGCAAGCGUUGUCCGGAAUUAUUGGGCGUAAAGAGCUCGUAGGCGGUCUGUUACGUCUGCUGUGAAAACCCGGGGCUUAACCCUGGGCUUGCAGUGGAUACGGGCAGACUAGAGGCAGGUAGGGGAGAAUGGAAUUCCCGGUGUAGUGGUGAAAUGCGCAGAUAUCGGGAGGAACACCGGUGGCGAAGGCGGUUCUCUGGGCCUGACCUGACGCUGAGGAGCGAAAGCGUGGGGAGCGAAC
rnacentral:rRNA from 1 species